rnacentral:rRNA from 1 species
AUACGGAGGGGGCUAGCGUUGUUCGGAAUUACUGGGCGUAAAGGGCGCGUAGGCGGAUUGUCAAGUCAGAGGUGAAAGCCCUGGGCUCAACCUGGCAACUGCCUUUGAAACUAAUGAUCUAGAGUCCGAGAGAGGAUGGCGGAAUUCCCAGUGUAGAGGUGAAAUUCGUAGAUAUUGGGAAGAACACCAGUGGCGAAGGCGGCCAUCUGGCUCGGUACUGACGCUGAGGCGCGAAAGCGUGGGGAGCAAACAGGAUUAGAAACCCCGGUAGUCC